UGGGGAAUUUUGGACAAUGGGCGAAAGCCUGAUCCAGCCAUGCCGCGUGAGUGAAGAAGGCCUUCGGGUUGUAAAGCUCUUUUAGUCGGAAAGAAAGAGUUGCAAUGAAUAAUUGUGAUUUAUGACGGUACCGACAGAAAAAGCACCGGCUAACUACGUGCCAGCAGCCGCGGUAAUACGUAGGGUGCGAGCGUUAAUCGGAAUUACUGGGCGUAAAGGGUGCGCAGGCGGUCUUGCAAGUCAGAUGUGAAAGCCCCGGGCUUAACCUGGGAAUUGCGUUUGAAACUACAAGACUAGAGCGCAGCAGAGGGGAGUGGAAUUCCAUGUGUAGCAGUGAAAUGCGUAGAGAUGUGGAAGAACACCGAUGGCGAAGGCAGCUCCCUGGGUUGACACUGACGCUCAUGCACGAAAGCGUGGGGAGCAAACA
rnacentral:rRNA from 1 species